ensembl:lncRNA
ACUUCCGGCAACACCAUGAUGACGUCAUAUUUUCGUCACAUAUCGCUCACCCAAAAUAAAUUGCGGACAUGUCGAGUAUAAAUCAACCUUGACACAAAGAAAGGGACCGAUGGCUGGCCAGCCGGGGUUCGUCUUUGGGAGAAAAAUUUGCAGAUAUUUUAUUUUUAAUUUUAUUUAUUGUUUUUAUUUAUUUUAUUUAAAUUUAUGUGUGUGUACUUCUAACAUGUCUGGUUGGUAAAAUAAAUGUUGUAAAUUCAAAUCAGAGCGUCUUCCGUGUCUGGAAUGGAUGUAUUCUUGAGUCUAUAAGGUAACAAUAAUAAAAUAAGAUAACUGAAAUGGGUUUGGCUAAAAUAAAAUUUUGGUUUCCUCUAUACUUCUAGGUACUUGUACUAGAUUGACUGGGUUACAUAGAAUUGCAUUACUAAAAAGAGACUAAAAUACCAUUUUCAUUGACUAAAACUAGACUACAUGUCAUCAGUUUUAGUCGACUAAAACUAGACUAAAAUGUCAUCAGUUUUCAUCGACUAAAACUAGACUAGACUUAAAAGAGUAUGAAUGUGACUAAAACUAAUAAAAACUAAAAUGCCAGCUUCACACAAAGACUAGACUAAAACUAAAAUUAAAGCAGGCGGCCAAAAACAACACUAAGUAGACGUACGUUCCAAGUUCCCAUUUGGGUGUUCUUCUUUGCAGUCAACAUCAUAUCCGUCAUUAGGCACUGGACUCAACAAUGGGUUUGGUCAAACACCUUCAUAGUAGGAUCUAGAUACCUAGGAUCCGAGAUCCUGCGUCCAAUUUCAUUUUUAUGUAUUUUCUUUUGUUGUUUACAUAGCAAAUUUGGUUGUUGCAGGGACGGGUUGCUAGCCCGACAUCCAACCCUCCUCCUUUCACAUUUGGGCUUGGGACCAGCAAUGGUGGACUUACCGUGAUUCGCUGCGUGUCAAGCUUCCUGGAACCCAGGACCCAGGAAAUCUCAAGCAGCAAGCCCCAUGGGCCAGCUCUGGAGUUGUUUGUAUACCCAUAAAUGUUUCUGAGCGAGAUGUUCAUCUUUCCAGUGAAAAUUUUAAUUUCUUGAGAUGAACUUUGUUCAGUAGUCAGUGAGCCAAGGCCAUUGCAUAGCCUCUGUACAAAAUUUAUGAGCUUGAGGAGGAGUGUGUUUAGCAAAUAUUUAUUUUAUAUGAGGGGGAGGACUGGAGUCGGUGAUACAGAGCUGUGAUUUUCGACUGGUUUUGCUUCAGGACUUGCAUUUUACAUUGGACAUCAAAUGCUGACCGAACACAGUACCAAAAUAAUUUAUUUUAUGAUUUUUUUUAAAUAUAUUUUUUUAAUAGAAAUAAAACAUUGAAAUGUAAUAAUUUAAAUGAAUUAUAUAAAAUACUAUUAAUAUCCGCCAAAACUUAAACAGUUUGCUUUACUUUUUAAUCUGCAAGGUGCCCUUUAAUUUCUUCAUAUUGUCUAAAUUUCCACAAUUAUUUAAUCACCUUGAGCACAAUAAGAACAUAAUUUCACUCCUUUUUUUCUCCCUUUCACAAGCUGUCACCAAAAAUGUUACUCAAUGAUAACUCUUAUCAUUUUUGUGAAAUGGUUCUUUGUCUAUAAUCGGCAAUCCUACUCAGUUUUCA